UACGUAGGGUGCGAGCGUUAAUCGGAAUUACUGGGCGUAAAGGGUGCGCAGGCGGCCAAGUGUGUGGGGCGUGAAAGCCCGGGGCUCAACCUCGGAAUUGCAUCCGAUACUGCCGUGCUAGAGUACUGAAGAGGUGACUAGAAUUCUCGGUGUAGCAGUGAAAUGCGUAGAUAUCGAGAGGAAUACCAACGGCGAAGGCAGGUCACUGGGCAGUUACUGACACUGAGGCACGAAGGCCAGGGGAGCAAACGGG
rnacentral:rRNA from 1 species